CAAGUCGAGCGCGGGAGCAAGCAGAUCUCCUUCGGGAGUGACGCUUGGGAACGAGCGGCGGACGGGUGAGUAACACGUGGGCAACCUACCUGUAAGACUGGGAUAACUCCGGGAAACCGGGGCUAAUACCGGAUGAAACAAAGCGUCGCAUGACGCAAUGUUAAAAGGCGGCAUAUGCUGUCACUUACAGAUGGGCCCGCGGCGCAUUAGCUAGUUGGUGAGGUAAAGGCUCACCAAGGCAACGAUGCGUAGCCGACCUGAGAGGGUGAUCGGCCACACUGGGACUGAGACACGGCCCAGACUCCUACGGGAGGCAGCAGUAGGGAAUCUUCCGCAAUGGACGAAAGUCUGACGGAGCAACGCCGCGUGAGUGAUGAAGGUUUUCGGAUCGUAAAACUCUGUUGUUAGGGAAGAACAAGUGCCAUUCGAAUAGGUUGGCACCUUGACGGUACCUAACCAGAAAGCCCCGGCUAACUACGUGCCAGCAGCCGCGGUAAUACGUAGGGGGCAAGCGUUGUCCGGAAUUAUUGGGCGUAAAGCGCGCGCAGGCGGUCCUUUAAGUCUGAUGUGAAAGCCCACGGCUUAACCGUGGAGGGCCAUUGGAAAACUGGAG
rnacentral:rRNA from 1 species